UACGUAGGGUGCGAGCGUUGUCCGGAAUUACUGGGCGUAAAGCGUGCGCAGGCGGUUUGGUAAGACAGACGUGAAAUCCCCGGGCUUAACCCGGGAACUGCGUUUGUGACUGCCAGGCUAGAGUACGGCAGAGGGGGGUAGAAUUCCACGUGUAGCAGUGAAAUGCGUAGAUAUGUGGAGGAAUACCGAUGGCGAAGGCAGCCCCCUGGGUCGAUACUGACGCUCAUGCACGAAAGCGUGGGGAGCAAACAGG
rnacentral:rRNA from 1 species